rnacentral:rRNA from 1 species
AGAGUUUGACUCCGUGGCUACGAGGACGAACGCUGGCGGCGUGCCUAACACAUGCAAGUCGAACGAGGUCCAUCCUUCGGGAGAAGACCUAGUGGCGAACGGGUGAGUAACACGUGAAGAACCUGCCCCGAAGACCGGGAUAACCCUCCGAAAGGAGAGCUAAUACCGGAUACCCCCACCGAACCGCAUGGUUUGGUGAGGAAAUGGAUUCCGCUUCGGGAGGGCUUCGCGGCCUAUCAGCUAGUUGGUGGGGGUAACGGCCCACCAAGGCAUCGACGGGUAGCUGGUCUGAGAGGACGAUCAGCCACACUGGGACUGAGACACGGCCCAGACUCCUACGGGAGGCAGCAGUGGGGAAUCUUGCGCAAUGGGCGAAAGCCUGACGCAGCAACGCCGCGUGGGGAUGAAGGCUCUCGGGUUGUAAACCCCUUUCAGCAGGGACGAAUCAAGACGGUACCUGCAGAAGAAGCCCCGGCUAACUACGUG